rnacentral:rRNA from 1 species
AACGAACGCUGGCGGCAGGCUUAACACAUGCAAGUCGAGCGCCCCGCCAGGGGAGCGGCAGACGGGUGAGUAACGCGUGGGAACGUACCUUUUGGUUCGGAACAACUCCGGGAAACUGGAGCUAAUACCGGAUAAGCCCUAACGGGGAAAGAUUUAUCGCCGAAAGAUCGGCCCGCGUCUGAUUAGCUAGUUGGUGAGGUAAUGGCUCACCAAGGCGACGAUCAGUAGCUGGUCUGAGAGGAUGAUCAGCCACACUGGGACUGAGACACGGCCCAGACUCCUACGGGAGGCAGCAGUGGGGAAUAUUGGACAAUGGGCGCAAGCCUGAUCCAGCCAUGCCGCGUGAGUGAUGAAGGCCUUAGGGUUGUAAAGCUCUUUUGUCCGGGAAGAUAAUGACUGUACCGGAAGAAUAAGCCCCGGCUAACUUCGUG